CACGUAGGGGGCGAGCGUUGUCCGGAUUUAUUGGGCGUAAAGAGCUCGUAGGCGGUUUCGUAAGUCGGAUGUGAAAACUCCAGGCUCAACUUGGAGACGCCAUUCGAUACUGCGACGACUUGAGUCCGGUAGGGGAGUGUGGAAUUCCUGGUGUAGCGGUGAAAUGCGCAGAUAUCAGGAGGAACACCGGCGGCGAAGGCGGCACUCUGGGCCGGUACUGACGCUGAGGAGCGAAAGCGUGGGUAGCAAACAGG
rnacentral:rRNA from 1 species